GAAAGAAAGAGGAAAAAUAUCUGAACAGGUGACUGCGCGCUACAAAAACACAACUACAAAGGCAUUCUCAUAUGUAUUCCAAGCCUCGUGCUUGUUUAAGGAUGGGAUGUAGCAUUUUUUUCCUAACUGUAAAUGUAACACCAAAUAACCCAUUUCUCAUGCAAAUAGAGGCAAGAAAAAAAAACAGACAUACUUAAUAGAUCAGUAAGUCAAUUAAUCACUACCGUCUGGGAAAAUGUGGCCAAGGCAAACACUGACAAGGAAGGGCUAUCAGCUGAUCUGAUGACUGAGGUCCAAGUGUGAGGCUGGAGGUCUGUUGAACCUGGCUGCAUACUCCUGGGACUCAAUCAUCAGCCAUAAAACAUUAGGGCACGAGGGCCGCGAGUAAAUCUCUCGGCGACCCAUUAUUUGGUUUGGAGUUAGGGAGGCGUAUUCUGUAAGCGAGUUACCUGUGUCGCCGUUUGGAAGAAAGCGAGAGACCAUCUCGCUGAAAUGCUUGUUUGCAGAGACCUUGUUGCUUUAAGCACCUCUGAUGAAUUACAUUCACACUGAAAGGUCUGAUCAGCGGAGAGAGACCUGAUAAAUACACUGCUGUAACGUCUGCCUGCUAAAGAUUAGCCACAGCCCCCUCUCCCUGUGAUCAACAGCGUCCCACAGACUGUAUCCAUCUCUCUAAAUGCGCAACAUUCUGACAAAUGAAAAUGAAUGGUGGCUAAGAUGGUGCUCUGAAGGGCCCCGGUGUUGUGGGCAUUCCUGGGGAAGCGAACGUGCUUUUGCUGAAAGGUAGGGAUCUCCACCGGAUCACUAUAUGAGACCUAAACAUCUGGCUGUGGGAGCUGAAAUCAAACUGGACAGCGUAAAAUUGACUUCAUAAGUUGUGUCUAGGGAGACUAAUGGUUUGGAUGGGGAGGAGAUGUUGGGAGAAUUUAUCUGCGUGCUCCUGUUCCGGGCAGGAACCAUCCACAAGCUGCAUGUGGAAGAUAUAAGCCAGGUACUCAUAGCCCAAGUGGAUAAAGUGGAAUGCAAGGGAGAGAAGGAGCAGGGAGGAAUGUCAUUGAUCAUAACAGCAAGAAAAGCCAAGUUCAGAAGAGACAGUGAUACCAUUUCUUUUUUUUUCUUUUGUUAGUCAAACCAUCAUCGCGAGGAUGAAACCGUGUGCCCACUUCGCCAAAUACACAAAGACAAAGCAAACUAGGGGGUGAAAGAUUGUUCUGAGCUUUGUUAUUACCUCAGGUAUUUGGUAUGCCCUUACCUCUGUCCAUCUGGUUUGCAUUAGAGUCCUGAUAAUGAUGGGUUUAAGUGUCUGUUUUUGUUUGUUUUGCUUCCCAUAGUUUGUGUCAGGAAAAGGCAUUUGUUUCAUUAAGGGGUCAAUUGCAGGCAGUAAAUGGCUAAUGAUGUAGUGAUGGUCAUUCAGCAAGGCUGCUUGGUUAAUUGUUUUUACUUUCUGUCUGAGAAAGUGGAGAGGAAAAAGUAGUAAAAAGAAAAAAAUGGCUGCCUUGUGCUAUAAUUUAGAAUGAGUGAUGCUCAUGUGAAGCUCUGCUGGUUCCUGAGCUGCCGGCGAUCAGUUUCGAGUCGCGAGGCGCUGGAGCUUGGACUGAAACAAUCAGCUGACUGACUGAGAAGUAAAAGAGAAAUAAAACGGUGAGAUUUAAUUAGCUGCCAAUUUACCAGAUCUAAACUUAAAGAAAAAUCCAGGGCGGCUUUAUUUUAUUGCAAUUAAUUUGGUGCUGGCCUCACUUUGGGGUUAACUCUUAAUUGCACUUUACAUACUAAUCUAUCAGUAAAUCACAUCUUCCUGACAGGAAAUGGGAGUUGUAGCCUAAAAGUAAUAUAAUUUUGAUCAUAUAGAUGAUCUGCUUACACUUAGGACACUUUGGAGACCGUUGUUUGUUUUUGGCUAAUGAUUGAAAGAACAACAGGAUGAUUAAAACAUUUUGAUAAACAUUUUGACUUCGGUAUUUAGAACAAAGCCACGUACCCUGAUUCCAGACACUAAGCUAAGCAGCUGCUUUUUUGAAAAGACAACAAUCUCCUAAAUGUCCAAAAAAAAAAAAAAAAGAUCAAAAAUCCUGCAUCCAGCUGCUCAAAUUAGAUUUUUUUUAACUGUCUUCUAGGAGCAGUAAAUUGAUUGGAUUUGGCUUUUUAAAAAUAUUACCUAUUUAUUUGGACCAUAAAAGUGGGCCAAAUAAAUAAAGCUGUGCUUCAAAUCGCUCUGAGGCUGCAGAUUAAUUUGAAUUAAAAAAAAUCUAAAAAAUAGUUGCAGGCCUUGAAUAUAUUAUUUCUAAAUGUCAGAAAAACUCUUUGCUCUUGGAACGUAAGAAAUCAUCUUUUCUAACUCUAUGUUCUCCGGCAGCAGCAUUGUUGCUUUUGCUGUCAGGCCACACCACAUCUAAAUGAAAAUGCAGCUGACUUCAAGUGCUGCCAUUAACCAGUCCUCAGUCUCUAAUGAAAUCCAUUAGCUCUAACCGGGGAGACUUGGCUUGUAUUAUUUCCACCCCAUUUUUCCUCAGAUUGCUUCCUCGCUAUCUCAUCACAGACAGAAUCCAUCUUUGGUCUUCAUCAUUCUUUUUUCUCGUUUUUUUUUCUUCUUUUUUUGGAAACACUCCUUCCUGGGCUGUGUUACAGCAUGCAGAUAAACACACACAACGGGGUUUGCUGUCUAAACGCCAGAUUUCUCAGCUGUCAGGACGCUACCAGCUCUGCUCAGCAGCUGGGCCUAUGACAGAUCCAACACAAACUCACACUUCAGGAUCUUCUUUCGUAGCAUCUCACCAGAGCGAGCCGACGUUCAAAGGGAGCGUCCACUUGGCAGGUUUCACUCGUGCUUUGCUCCACUUUUUUUCCCUUCUUUUCCCCUCCUGUCUUUAACCUUGGUCUUGGCACCAGUCUUGGUUUUCACACUGAUCUACUGAAAUGUCCCAUCAUCGCUCACUCACUCGAGUCUAGCGGCUGGAAGGGUUUUCGCAGGUAUUUCUGACACACCCUGUCCCUGAAUCACACUCGGCAGUGGUGAGAUUACAGCCUUUUGUCACCUUGUCUGUUAGAGCUUGGCUCUGGCUGACAGGAGAUGGAUGUGUCAGGUGAGCAAUCCCAUUCAGAAAAGAUAGGAGGAGGAGGAGGAGGAAGGGUGAUGCCCCAUAAAAAGAGUGAAGAUUUUUUAUAUUGCAGCACAGCUGAAGUUGGGCCAUAUUUGAUCAGAUCCAAAAGCCAGGACUCGACACUAGCAGUUGCAGGAAUUGUGGUUUCCCAAAGAAAUCGUGCAGGUGACAACAGGGGAUAUUUUUACAUUGCAGUGUAUGUGAGGAGCACGAUGUCCACCUGUAGAGAACUGUCAUCAGCUCCAGCAAUAGCUCACUGUCAGACACGCUUGAUUUACAUUGCUAAGCUUCCCCUGUCUAUACCCCGUUUUCCCUUCUCCAGACCGCGACUGCUGUCUUCUUCCCUCUCCAGGAGAAACCCGUCAGUGCACAUGCCAAUGCAGGUGAGCGCCCACCUAAAUGAGCAUCCAUCUGGUUUAACAGCUUGUAAACACUUAAGUCUCACGUCUUCAUACAACAUAGUCUCGACCCUGACAAAUUCCCAAAAAUGCACACUGCACCAGAGCAGAGGGGGAAAAAUGCUAUGAAAUGAUAUCAGGCUUUCCAGGUCAAGCAGAAGAUAAAGGCCUCUGGAAGCCAUGCGAAAUACAUUAACCUCCAUUCCUGAGGCUAUCUGUCUUUAUCUGGCCUUGAUAAGCUCACUUCACAGCCUUUCAGCCUCGCUAAAUCAUAACUGCGCUGCGUUGUGUCACAUUCAGUUUCCCCACCGUUUCACCAAAAAAAACAGGAGAAAAAAAAAAAAGCAUCCAUCUGCCCUGCCAGCCAGCUCUGCUGUACUGGACUGUAUCGCAGGGGCAAUUUGUGGGAAGUGGGAUGCUGUGGCACUUACAGCCUCCUCAGCCUUUAUUGCAGCCUCCCACUGUGAACUACUGUUCCCUUUACUGCAGAUGUGUUUUUUGUUUGGCUAAGGGGCCUCUCAGGUUUUGAUAUUUUUAUUACCUCUCAAGGGUCAUCAGUCAGGACCCCGGGCCAGGGUCCACCAACCGGCAGGUCCCCCCGCCCACUUGCUAUGGCCACACAAAAAUACUUUUGUGGGAAGAACUGAGGAUAGCUGUCUGGACGUCACACUGAGCUGCACUUCAGAAUAAUUUAAAAGCCCCCGUUGGAUCCUUUCCCUCUCCUUGUGCUUUCUGCCUGUCAUACUCAUCCUGGAUUACACGCUGAAUCAAUAUUUUGUUGCUCGAGCAAAAUAAACCAAAUAAACCCCUCUCCUCCUGUUUUCGGUAUAUUGAAUCAAAUCCUUCGUGGUGUUUUCCUAGACACAUAUUUAGGGGUGAAAAAAAAUGGAGCUUUGCAAAUAUUUCUAAUUCAAGCAUUCAUUUGUAAAAAGCCUCGGAAAGAAUAAUACCGCUUUCACUGUGCAGGAGUGUACUAUAUCAGCCUCAGGUUCCCCUUGGCUCGGAUUCACGGGGGUUGGCUGAAAAAUAGGAGCAUUCCCUUUUGCUCAUGAAAUCAAGAGAAAAUACAGCUUCAAAUGAGGCGUUAAGUCUCGGAGGCGUUGGCUGUUAUGUAAAAUGAAUUAUGGUACAAAGCUGAUAUGAUCUCUUUUGGUGUUAAUGCAGAUGCACUGGCAUGGGAUUUAUUGUAUAGACAGGACGUAUGUUUGAGAGUCUGUCUGUGUUUUAACAGUAUUAUGGUAAGAGGAAUGUUGUAUGCUAAAUAAAUUAAGUAUUUCUUGAUUUUCCUCUUUUUAAAACCAGAAAAUGACACACAGUUUUUCCCCGGCUGUAAUCAACGGUGACGUGAGCAUAUUGAGGUCUAGUAUGCGAUUGUGUAUCAAUGUACAUGUGGGUGGUAAGACUCUGGAGUGACAGCCCCAGCUUGGCCCUUGGCCCCCAGCUCUGCCAAUGCUGUGUAACCAGCAGCUGAUUUAUGGCCCCUGGAGCCCUGCUGAGCCUCUUCCUCUUUGGCCCCUGAUGUUUUCCAAGCAAGCCCAGAGAAAGGUUGCUCUGUCCAUCCAGCCUCCAGGAGGAGAGCGUCUUCUCAGAGGAGCCCGAUACGCCCCUCAGACUUGUGGUGUCAAAGGUCAUGCACAUGACAGGCUCAGGGUGGGCUUUGACUUGGCUCAACUUGGACCUCUGUGUUACGUCCCACAGCAA